CAUCUUUCUUUUUUAGUUGAUCAAUGAUGUUUGUAAGAGUCUUUAGUCCAAGUUACUGUAAGUUUUCAAAAAUAAUCACACAGUACUAGAAUCGGCAAUGGCAAUAGGCAUGGCAAUUAGAAGAACAGUCACAGAUACCACUGAAGAACAACAACAGAUACUGCACACAACAUGGCAACAGACACAUAUCUAUAUCCUUCUCUUUUCCCUGGAGAAAAAUGAGUAUCCCUGUCUUUUUGCUACUCUGAUAUCACCGAUUCUCCGUAUCCUCAUUUUCCUCUAUUGUUCAUUGUUCUUAUUUUGUUGCGAGGACAGGGUACAUCG
rnacentral:lncRNA from 1 species